GAUGAACGCUGGCGGCGUGCCUAAUACAUGCAAGUCGAGCGAACGGACGAGAAGCUUGCUUCUCUGAUGUUAGCGGCGGACGGGUGAGUAACACGUGGAUAACCUACCUAUAAGACUGGGAUAACUUCGGGAAACCGUAGCUAAUACCGGAUAAUAUUUUGAACCGCAUGGUUCAAAAGUGAAAGACGGUCUUGCUGUCACUUAUAGAUGGAUCCGCGCUGCAUUAGCUAGUUGGUAAGGUAACGGCUUACCAAGGCAACGAUGCAUAGCCGACCUGAGAGGGUGAUCGGCCACACUGGAACUGAGACACGGUCCAGACUCCUACGGGAGGCAGCAGUAGGGAAUCUUCCGCAAUGGCCGAAAGCCUGACGGAGCAACGCCGCGUGAGUGAUGAAGGUCUUCGGAUCGUAAAACUCUGUUAUUAGGGAAGAACAUAUGUGUAAGUAACUGUGCACAUCUUGACGGUACCUAAUCAGAAAGCCACGGCUAACUACGUG
rnacentral:rRNA from 1 species